rnacentral:lncRNA from 1 species
AUCAGAAUUAGGGAUGCAGAGGGAGGUCCUGUUGUGGUUCAGAGGGUUAAGAACCCAACUAGUAUCCUUGAGGAUGUGAGUUUGAUCUCUGGCUUCACGCUGUGGGUUAAGGAUCCAGGGGUGCCAACAACUGCAGAGUAGGUCGCAGAUGCGACUGGGAUCUGGCAUUGCUGUGGCUGUGGCAUAGGCUGGCAGCUGUAGCUCCAAUUCGACCCUCAGCCUGGGAACUUCCAUUUGCCGCAGGUGCAGGAAAAAGAAAAAUUAGGGAGGCAGAGGCUGGGGACUGGCAUAGGUGGAACAGGCUGCAAGGCCCCCUUAUCUCCCAGAUGCUUCACUGGCCCUGCUGCAGUGUUGGGAAGACCCAUCAUUAGUCUUUCCAUUGAGGCCACUGUAAAAGUGUAGAUGGUUUAUUACACUGAGGAGAGAGAGUAAAUCAUUGUGCUAGAGAGGGGCUGGGCCGGGAGAUGAGGCCAGGCUCACCAGUUCUCCUGUCCAGACCCCCCAGCUUGGAGGAAAGAUGCCCCCCAGCCAUCUCCUCUGUCUGUCCCAGGGACCUGGAGACACAGGGAGGAGGAGGAAGAGAAGGAGGAUGAAUAUGAGCUGCCCCCCUGUGAGACUCUGCCCUUCCGCCGAGCCCCCGCCCACCUUCCUGGCACUGAGGACUCUUUGUACUUGGGUGAGAUCUGGGAAAUUGGGGCGGGGGCUUGGGUGGUCAGGUGGGACGGGAAGGUCCCCACAAGGGAAGAGGGCCCAGGCCUGGCCACUUCUCCCUCUGUUUGGCCUGGGGCGGUGAGGGGGGCUCUCAGCUGGCAGUCACCGAAGCCUCUUGGCUGGGCAGAGAGAGGGAUGGAGGGAGGGAAGGAGGAGCAGAGAAGGGAAGGAGGAAGGGUGGGAAGGGGAUUGGAGAGGGGCACUGUAACCAAGGCAACGGCGGGAAAGUGUGAGGCCCAACAGGGUCCCUGGGGCCUGGCGUUCCCCCUCCGAAAUCUCAGCACAUCUCCAAGCGAGGGUAGGGAUGCCAGGAGAGCCCCAGCUGCUGC